rnacentral:rRNA from 1 species
GACGAACGCUGGCGGCGUGCUUAACACAUGCAAGUCGAACGCUGAAGCUUGGUGCUUGCACUGGGUGGAUGAGUGGCGAACGGGUGAGUAAUACGUGAGUAACCUGCCCUUGACUCUGGGAUAAGCCUGGGAACCUGGGUCUAAUACUGGAUACGACAUGUCACCGCAUGGUGGUGUGUGGAAAGGGUUUUGGUGGUUUUGGAUGGGCUCACGGCCUAUCAGCUUGUUGGUGGGGUAAUGGCUCACCAAGGCGACGACGGGUAGCCGGCCUGAGAGGGUGACCGGCCACACUGGGACUGAGAGACGGCCCAGACUCCUACGGGAGGCAGCAGUGGGGAAUAUUGCACAAUGGGCGGAAGCCUAAUGCAGCGACGCCGCGUGAGGGAUGACGGCCUUCGGGUUGUAAACCUCUUUCAGCACGGAAGAAGCGAAAGUGACGGUACGUUCAGAAGAAGCGCCGGCUAACUACGUG